rnacentral:rRNA from 1 species
GACGAACGCUGGCGGCGUGCCUAAUACAUGCAAGUAGAACGCUGAAGGAGGAGCUUGCUUCUCUGGAUGAGUUGCGAACGGGUGAGUAACGCGUAGGUAACCUGCCUGGUAGCGGGGGAUAACUCUUGGAAACGAUAGCUAAUACCGCAUAAGAGUAGAUGUUGCAUGACAUUUGCUUAAAAGGUGCAAUUGUAUUACUACCAGAUGGUCCUGCGUUGUAUUAGCUAGUUGGUGGGGUAACGGCUUACCAAGGCGACGAUACAUAGCCGGACUGGGAGGGUGGUCGGCCACACUGGGACUGAGACAAGGCCCAGACUUCUACGGGGGGCAGCAAGAGGGGAACUUCGGCAAUGGACGGAAGUCUGACCGAGCAACGCCGGGGGGGGGGAGAAGGGUUUCGGAUCGGAAAGCUCUGUUGUAAGGGAAGAAAGAAUGUGGGAGUGGAAAGUUCACACUGUGACGGUAUCUUACCAGAAAGGGACGGCUAACUACGUG